AGUGGCAGGGCAGGAGUGGCCCCCAGGCGGGGUGGCCACCCAGCAGGACAGGACCCUUGGGGCCCAGCGGGUGGGGUCAUGGGCUGCCUCCCACCCUGCCCUUGCCAGUACCGCUCUGUCAUCUGUCUGGGCUCCUUCCUCGCCCCUCCCCAUCAGGGCAGCCGGCCAGGGAGCCCCCGUCCCCCGUCCCCCGUCCCCCGGUGCUGCAGCUCUCCUUGUCCAGGGCAGGUGACACCCCUUCACUGUUUCAGGCCGUGACUCCUGAUGACUGAGAACCUCGGAUCCGCGGCAGGAUCUCUGGGAGAGGCAGGAUCUCGGGGGAGAUUUUGGAUACCCUAGGGACCUGAGUUGAGUUGACUGAGGGACCCUCGGAUGGACAAGAGGGAGCCUGGGCAGGAAGGCAAGGCCCUCGGGAAUGUGACUGUGGGACCACCUACUGAUGUAGGGCCCCUGUGUGGACGUGGCCCCCCCAGAACUGGACAUCAGAGCACGGAGGUCACCAGGCUGCCUGCUCGGGAGAAGCCCCACAGGUCUGAGUUUGGACAGUACAUUUCCUGGGGACACCCCGCGGAGGCCCUCUCUUCACGUGAUGCCCCCACCCCUGGUCAAGAACACAGGCCAUCUCACGCUACGGAGGCAAGCCUCGGCCUGGCCCGUGUGUUGAGAACCAUUGUCACGAGGUCCACCUUGAAACGUGAACCGUGGGCUCGCUGGGCUGGGCGGGCCCGGUGCGUGGUGUUGCCGUGGGCGCAUCAGCUGCUCUGGGGGCCCGAGGCCAGCACUGUUUGCCGCUGGUCCGGAAGGGUACGGUGGCUCAUAGACCCCGUCGGGGAGGCUGCAGGGGACUUUUGAGCACGUGACCCCCAAAGUCAGUGUGAGCCCCCACCAGUGAGGGGGCCCCUGUGGCCCCCAAGCCAGUGGAGGAGGUGCUGUGUGUGGUGACACUGAGGUGGCUGGGGAGGGAGGCGGAUACACUUCGAGACCUAUUUCGAGGGACCUGAUCUGCACAGCAGGGACUCGGCCGCCGGGGGGAGGGGAGUCCAGUCUGGAGACGAGCGUGUGGGGGCGGCCCACUGGUCGGCCCCGGGUCAGUGCCCCCCUCACCUGGUCGUGGUGGGCUGGCACUUUCCCUUCCCCCUCCCCCUUCCCUGCCAGCCACAUCCCUGUCCUGCUUUCUGCUUUGGGCCCCGCUGCUGCAGGGGGCAAGGGUGGGGGUCCUGGCCGGACACGGGGAGGGGGGUGACAGACAUGGCGAGACACGCAGUCUUUGGGGGAGCUCUGGUCUCCCCGGCAGGAGGCUGGUGGAGGGGCUGGUGGGUCCCUGGGGCCGCCUCCCACUCCUCCGGCAAGCCCACCACAGCACGCUCCUGCUUCCCACUCGAAUACGCCACUUUGCCCCUUCUAUGGGGCAAUAAUUUUAAUAAACGGCUUUUUUUCUGUGAGCCCAGAGUGUGAGGCUUCCUCUUAGCUCAGGAAGAUGCCUGUUGCCAGCAGCUCUAACGAGGGCACCCAUAAAUCUCUUAUUUGUGGCUCCAAAAAUGAGGUCAUGGGCUCUCACUGUGCCUCAUUAUUUAAUUAAACAGAUAUCAAGACAACAGAGUGGGGCCAGGGCUCCAGGUGAGGGGAGGUAUCAGAGGGAGGAGCCCGGGGCUGCGGGGAACGUGCUGGGGGUUCGGUUCGUUCCCCCACCCCCACCCCCACCCCACCCGCCCUGCGCCCUCGGAGGUGCCGACCCUGUGGCCUCCCGGGCUGGGCCAGCCGUGCCCUGUGCAGGACCCUCCGCCCUGGCCCGCCCACAGGCUUUUGACUGCGUGGAGGAUGCUGCCCUGCAAAGAGAAUUGCCGGCCCCCCACCCGCCACCUCCGGAAGGACGGGAGAUUCACGCGCCCGCGCCCGUUUUACUGCCACUGAAACAAUUAAGUGAAUAAAACAGCCUUCCUGUUUCUUGACCUCCA